rnacentral:rRNA from 3 species
UUUAUUGGAGAGUUUGAUCCUGGCUCAGGAUGAACGCUGGCGGCGUGCCUAAUACAUGCAAGUCGAGCGAAUGGAUUAAGAGCUUGCUCUUAUGAAGUUAGCGGCGGACGGGUGAGUAACACGUGGGUAACCUGCCCAUAAGACUGGGAUAACUCCGGGAAACCGGGGCUAAUACCGGAUAAUAUUUUGAACUGCAUGGUUCGAAAUUGAAAGGCGGCUUCGGCUGUCACUUAUGGAUGGACCCGCGUCGCAUUAGCUAGUU